GACGAACGCUGGCGGCGUGCCUAACACAUGCAAGUCGAACGGGGUAAAGACUUCGGUUUUACUUAGUGGCGAACGGGUGAGUAACGCGUGAGAAACCUGCCUUCCAGUGGGGGACAACAGUUAGAAAUGACUGCUAAUACCGCAUAAUGUUUUCGAGGGGCAUCCCUUGAAAACCAAAGCUUUAUGUGCUGGAAGAUGGUCUCGCGUCUGAUUAGCUAGAUGGCGGGGUAACGGCCCACCAUGGCGACGAUCAGUAGCCGGUCUGAGAGGAUGAACGGCCACAUUGGGACUGAGAUACGGCCCAG
rnacentral:rRNA from 1 species